GCGUGAGUGAAGAAGGCUUUAGAGUUGUAAAGCUCUUUCAGCGGGGAAGAUGAUGACGGUACCCGCAGAAGAAGCCCCGGCUAACUCCGUGCCAGCAGCCGCGGUAAUACGGAGGGGGCUAGCGUUGCUCGGAAUUACUGGGCGUAAAGGGCGUGUAGGCGGAGUGUCAAGUCAGGCGUGAAAGCCCCGGGCUCAACCCGGGAACUGCGCUUGAGACUGAUAUUCUAGAGUCCGGGAGAGGGUGGUGGAAUUCCCAGUGUAGAGGUGAAAUUCGU
rnacentral:rRNA from 1 species